UACGUAGGGGGCAAGCGUUGUCCGGAUUUACUGGGCGUAAAGAGCGCGUAGGCGGAAGCUUAAGUGUGGCCUGAAAGCCCCCGGCUCAACCGGGGAAGGUGGCUGCAAACUGGGCUUCUUGAGGGGGAUAGGGGAAAGUGGAAUUCCGGGUGUAGCGGUGAAAUGCGUAGAGAUCCGGAGGAACACCAGUGGCGAAGGCGGCUUUCUGGGUCCGCCCUGACGCUGAGGCGCGAAGCG
rnacentral:rRNA from 1 species